ACGUCUCUCGGUUAAUCUCUCAUCCAUGGAAAGUCGCACAAACCCGAGAGAAAUACACCACGGUAAAUAAAAUGGAAAUAAUUUAAUGUUCCUUGGGCUGCCCGGGGGUUGGGGACCACUGUUUUAAACCACUGGUUACUCACAUAAACCACAUAAUAUGGUUACUUACAUAAACCACAUAACACAAGUCAAGUCUCUUCCUAUGUUACAGUUCAUUUGCUAUAAGUGAAAAUGCACCACGAUCUAUAAGACUAUCGUUUCAGAUCCUGAUCAGAGUUCCAGCACUAAAGCUACCCAGUGAAAAGAUGUUUAUUGAUUGCGAGUGAUGCAAUGAAGAAUUACAACUCGGCAAGUCACACGCUGGACUUAUCAAAUGUAGCAUCAAAGAGGAUCCAGUGACAGAGCUUGAAGGUAAAAUGAUUAUGAGCUUUACCAGCUUUCUGACCUGCUGGGAGGACUAGCACUCACAGAAGAUAAAAUGAGAUAAAAUGACAACCUACAUUCCUGAAGAUUUUGUUGAAUGAAGGGUUUAGUCUCUCUAGACUUGUGAAGAAAUGUCCUCUGGGGAUCAACUACAGAUUGGACCAGAAUCAGACAUGGAGGAGUCGAGUUGGUAGUUCUGGCAUGAAAAAAUAUGGCUUAUUAUCAGAUGUUCUUGGAGCACUUGGGAAAAUCUGAAUUAAUCUGCAUAAAAUUAAGACACUCUUAGAAAACGUUUAAUGAGACUAAGAGCAAGACGAUAAGUGUGUAAUGCCCAUGCUGAGAAUUUGGCUUCUUUCAUUCUGUGAAGAAAUCUGAACUGAUUGGAUCAGAAUUUUGGAGGUGAGCAAUGUGAAAGCUGAUGAAACUGAUGCCUGAUUUCCUCCAAUGUACAGUAGCUACACAUUUUUGAAUCAGGCUGUAAUUCUGUCAAUCAAGGCUGUCUAAGAUUAUAUGUGGAAUUUCUUCCCAUGUUGACCAAAACAUUAAAGCAAAAAACAGUGGCACUAAUGCUUUUAAGCACCACGACAAACCUUUCUCACAACCAGAGAAGACAAAGCGUCCCUGGUUGAGGGUUUGGUCAGCAGAGAGUGUUCUUAACUCUGUGUGAAUGUGUGCAGACAUGCCUGCUAUUAACCAUGAGGUCCCCUGACCCUGUCAUUGAGGGUUUUUUGUGGCUGGUUGAGCAGCAGAUUGCACUUGACAGGGCAGGAGGGGUAGUAGAGAAUGUUGUGGCCACUUGCUCAGCUUUAAAUGAGUUGUCCUGUCCACUAGAAUUGGCUGCUGAUCCUCACUGUCACAAAACUACAGAUCUUGUUUCAUUUAUUUUUAUGUUUAUUAUUAUUAUCAUGAAGAACCAUUGGGAGAUCCAGAUCCAGAUAAAUUAGAGACACAUAGUCCUUCUGGAUGCAUCCAGUAUCCUCAGUAAAGGGCUAAUUGAUAGAAGUGUAAAGCCCUUAACCCAGAUCUGCUCUUCUGACUCUGCACAUGUGGCUUAACUCAUAACAGGCUUAAUAAUUAAUAAAGCUGACAAGCUGGAUUUUGAAGACUCUGUCAUGUCACGUUCCAUGUUGGUAAAAAUAGUCUUUCCCUGUGCUUAAACCUCCAUCUAAUGGAAAUGUCAGCGUAGAUAUGCUCUUGGUGAAAAGUUCUUUAGGUAGUUCUUCACUUUCAUAUGUUUGUGUCCUAGCGAGUUAUUUAGAUCGCUUCCCACAUUUCUGAAAAUAGUUUGUUUUCCAAGUGCAGGCUAUGAAAUUGAGCGAUUGAUGACGUAAAGUGGAGGUCAUAAAUUUUAUUUAUUUUGGUGGCACUAUAUUGGGCUUCCAUUUGUGUCUGAGAGCUACCAGUCCAACAACAUGGAGGAUCCUCACUGAAAUGUUCUUUAUACAUAACUGUCUAACAUGCGAACAAAGCAAAAGGAAGAAUUGUACGUGCUUUCAAGUCCAUCCUUUCUAAACUGAGAGCAAUACAAUAAUGUUGAUGAUGGUGCUGCUGCUGCUGCUGCUGAUGAUGAUGAUGAUGAUGAUGAUGAUAAGUUAUCAUCCUGAUUGGGAAUCACAACCUUCCCUCAGAUGACUCCAGCGUUCAGGAACCAGUCAGGUAUACUUUUAAGCAAUUUGAUUUUUUUUUUUAGCGAAUAGAAGUGAGUAUCGGCUACCAGCAACACUUACUGCCAUAAUCUCGGAUGGUGAAGUUCUUGUUCCGGAUGUCUCUGGGAGAUUUGAAGAAGAAUCUGUGUCCUAGAUUAGGCAUAUCUCUGUCUGUAGCACUGAGGAUCUGGAUCACCUGGAUACCAAUAACACAAAGACCAUUAUUACUGUCAUUAAGCUGUUACUAUAGAAACGAUAACCUAUUAGAACGAGUAUAAUAUAAACCUGUGCUACCUUCAGUGCUGCUGUUAUAGAAAAUCAAUCAAAUGCUUUAUUCUGACCAAUCACAAUCCAGAAGGGAUUUUCCAAGCAAGCUUUAGAGCUUUAGUGUUUUAGUGCAACUCUGAUAUUAUAACGACUUGUUUUAGAUCCUGCACCAAAUCAUAUUACAGUUGUUCUGAACACACACACACACACACACACACACACACAAACACACACCUACCUGGCCUACUUUUGCAUCCUCACAAACAAACGCUUCAUAUGGAGAAGAAAGUUCUGGAGGAAACUCGUUGACAUCCAGCACCGUGAUUGUGACACUGACCCGAGUGAACAGCUGGGGAUUAUCUCACGGCUGCAUUUCCAUUUAAACUCCACCAGAUGGCGUGAUGAGACCUUUGUAAGAUUUCCACCUCGUCUGUAAAUUCUUCAUUUGUCUCUUCACUACACGCGUGUGUUUUAUUUUCUCUAACAGUCAACAGUCAUGAAGAUGAUGAAGAGCAAGUUGAUGAGCUGAUGAGGUGAGAAUGAAGGAGAACGUUGAGGUGCGAGGAAUAACGAAGCCUAACGAUGAGCUGCACGUGUCAGAGACGUGACUUCCUCUCUGAUCCACGUCGAAGUAAUUCUCUGAGUCUGCGCUCCACUCAAUGGAGUACCUACAGAGCAGAAAGAUGGAAAUAAAAAGCAUCUUAAAGCAGCAAAUUCAAAAUGGGGAUGUUGUAGGUAUUUGGAUGCCAAUCAGAUGGUUGUGAGUUCAAAUCCCAGGUCCACCAGGCUGCCACUACUGGGCCCCUGAGCAAGGCCCUAAACCCUCAGUUGCUCAGUUGUAUAAAAUGAGAUGUAAGUCACUCUGGUUAAUGGCAUCUGCUAAAUGUUGUAAAUGUAAAUUAAAGCAGAUAUACAGUAAUAAUAAUUCAGUAAGGAGUGUAAGGUUCAGGGUAUGGAGAUAGGAAAGUGGACAUGGAGCGUGGUCUAAUAUUACAGAGAUAAGAAAAUUAAUGAGUGGAAAAUUUGUAAAUUCUAAUAAUAUAUAUAUGUAAAUAAGAUGGACAUGUUUAAAGGUAUAAAGAGGUGUUAAAAAUGUAUAAGAAAUGAAAAAGAAAAGAAAAAAAGUAAAUUAAUAUCAGUAUAAUAAUAAACUCAAUACAAUGAUGUAGAAUUUACUAAUUCAUUAUUUAUGAGAAAAGCAAAAUAUUAUAUUAUAUUAUAUUAUGAUUAUUGUUAAACAUUUCAGAUCUUUUUCCACCUUUAAAGUACAGCAACUGACACUAUUUUUAUAUUCAAGUAAACGACAAAUAAGAAAUGAAAAAGAAAAUGAAAACGUGUACAAUAACCUGUAAUGGUGCAUAAGUAUGAACACCCCUUAACUAAUUGGGCACACAGAGAUGUUAGUAAACAGUCCUCAGACUCGACACAUCAUGCCUUCGCUGCAGAAAUAUUCCAGUUCUAUCACAUUGUGAGAGGAUCUCCUCACACAUCCCUUUCACAGGUUUUCGAUCUGAUUUAGAUCUCUUUCAAAAUAUUGAUCUUCUUCCUCUGAAGCCGUUCCUUUGUUAGACUGGAUUUGUGCUUUGGGUUUGUUAUCGUGCUGAAAUUUGAAAUGUUCUUCAUCCUCAGCUGUCUAUCAAAGAUCUGCAGCGUUUGUGUGAAAAUAGUUUGGUAUUUACUGUAGAGCUUUCUAUGAUUCUCUUUAUCCUGACCAGAGGAAGAGAAGAGAAGAGAAGAGAAGAGGAGAGGAGAGGAAAAAGGUGGAGAGAAGAGGAGAGGAGAGAAGAGAUGCAGAAGAGGACAAGAGAGAAG